CGGCUGGCUGCUCCAGUCUGCGCUGCCCACCCGUCUCGGGUGUCCUAUCCCGGUGGAUACAUUUUUCUUUUUCAGAAAAGGGAAACAGGAAAACGGGGACGAUUAGUCUCUAUCUAGGGGAGCCACGUGGAAAAACCAGCUUCAGGCUGGAGUUUAGCUCACUGCAACCUCUGCCUCCUGGGUUCAAGCAAUUCUCCUCCCUCAGCCUCCUGAGUAGCUGGGACUACAGGCUUUAGAACUGGCGGCUUUAUAAGAAGAGAAAGAGAGAUCUGAGCUAGCACACUCAACCCCUUUGCUCUGUGAUGCCCUGUGCCGUCUCAGGACUCUGCAGAGAGUCUCCACCAGCAACAAGGCCUUCACCAGAGCAGCCCCUUAACAUUGGACUUCCCAGCCUCCAUAACUGUCUGACUGGAUCCAGAAGUUCCAGUGAAGCCAAUUUCUAUCUCUAGUCUUUGUGAUCCUUUCCUCUCCAGCAAGGCUUUUCCUUGCAAUGACACGACACCUGGCAGCAUCUCCAGGCUUACUCAACCAGUACCCUUGAUGGGAAAAGGGCUUUUCUUUCUUAAUUUUCCAGCAAAAGCCCCAAGAUUGACUCUGGAGUAAAUUGCACAUGGCCUCAAAUUCUUUGCAGCUCCUUCCACUAUGAGGUGGCAUGUAUUACUCCAGUCCUUGCAUCUGGGCUGGAUUUGUGACUUGUUUUGAACACUAGAAUGUAGUAAAAGUGACAGUGACAAUGUAUGAGUUUCAAGCCUAAGACAACAUGCUUUUCAGCCAUUGCUCUGGAUUUCUUUGAAUGCUGCUGUCACAUAAAGAAGACUGAAAUAGCCUACUAGAGGAUGGG
rnacentral:lncRNA from 1 species